GGGGAUGUAGCUCAGAUGGU
rnacentral:ncRNA from 3 species